rnacentral:rRNA from 1 species
UUGAGUUUGGAUCAUGGCUCAGAUUGAACGCUGGCGGCAGGCCUAACACAUGCAAGUCGAGCGGUAGAAAGUAGCUUGCUACUUUUGAGAGCGGCGGACGGGUGAGUAACGCGUGGGAAUCUACCUGGUAGUGGGGGACAACUUGGGGAAACUCAAGCUAAUACCGCAUACGCCCUACGGGGGAAAGGAGGGGCUCUUCGGACCUUUCGCUAUCAGAUGAGCCUGCGUAGGAUUAGCUAGUUGGUAGGGUAAAGGCCUACCAAGGCGACGAUCCUUAGCUGGUCUGAGAGGAUGAUCAGCCACACUGGGACUGAGACACGGCCCAGACUCCUACGGGAGGCAGCAGUGGGGAAUAUUGGACAAUGGGGGCAACCCUGAUCCAGCCAUGCCGCGUGUGUGAAGAAGGCCUUCGGGUUGUAAAGCACUUUCAGUGGUGAGGAAGGGUGUGAAGUUAAUACCUUCAUACAUUGACGUUAGCCACAGAGAGACCG